CGGCAUGCCUUACACAUGCAAGGUCGAACGGCAGCACGGGAGCAAUCCUGGUGGCGAGUGGCGAACGGGUGAGUAAUAUAUCGGAACGUGCCCGGUCGUGGGGGAUAACGUAGCGAAAGCUACGCUAAUACCGCAUACGAUCUACGGAUGAAAGCGGGGGAUCGCAAGACCUCGCGCGAUUGGAGCGGCCGAUAUCAGAUUAGGUAGUUGGUGAGGUAAAGGCUCACCAAGCCGACGAUCUGUAGCUGGUCUGAGAGGACGACCAGCCACACUGGGACUGAGACACGGCCCAGACUCCUACGGGAGGCAGCAGUGGGGAAUUUUGGACAAUGGGCGCAAGCCUGAUCCAGCAAUGCCGCGUGCAGGAUGAAGGCCUUCGGGUUGUAAACUGCUUUUGUACGGAACGAAACGGUGAGCUCUAAUACAGUUUGCUAAUGACGGUACCGUAAGAAUAAGCACCGGCUAACUACGUG
rnacentral:rRNA from 1 species